rnacentral:lncRNA from 10 species
GAUGCAAAGGACCUCAUGGCCCAACGUGGCCCUGAGAUGUCCUCUGAUCACUCCCUCAUGACCAGAGGAGGGUCUGAGGAUCCUGCUAAAAAAUGGACUUACAACUGAUGAAUGCCUUGGCAGCUCAGCCUCAUGGGGUAUGCUCCAUCAAUAUCCCCACCUAGGGUAUCUAGAAAUUACUGGCCAGCAGUGCAUGUAGGUGAGGUUAGAAAAUGGGUCUUCACAUGACCUCAUUAUGAUAACUGCUAUUAUUAAUGAUAGCUGUCAUCUAUUUAGUGCUUACUGCCUGCCAGGGACUCUGCCUAGAAUCUUAAAUAGAUCAUUCUUACACCACUGAGUUAUCAUUAUCGGUGACAUUUUACAUGAAGAAAUAAAUCUCAGAGAGGUUUCACAACUUGUCCAAAGUCACACAGCUAGUAAGUGGCAGAGUGGGGAUUUGAACCCAGGUCUUUCCUAUUCUGAGGUUUCCUAUAACCAGGCUAUCCUGCCCUCACCACCGCUCCACAUAUGCUCGCUACUAGCCAGUUCAGGGGUGACUGAGGAAUGAUUUUAGGUCACAUGGGAACAAUUUUUUCUAUGUUAAGUGGUGGCAUUUAUUUUGGUAAGUAUUAGAAAAAUAAAAUUAGCACAUCAAA